rnacentral:rRNA from 1 species
CGGGGUGAGUAACGUGUGGGCAACCUGCCCUGCACUGGGGAAUAAUCAUUGGAAACGAUGACUAAUACCGCAUACAGUUCCUGGGAGGCAUCUUCCGGGAAAGAAAGGAUUUAUUCGGUGCAGGAUGGGCCCGCAUCUGAUUAGCUAGUUGGUGAGAUAACAGCCCACCAAGGCGACGAUCAGUAGCCGACCUGAGAGGGUGACCGGCCACAUUGGGACUGAGACACGGACCAAACUCCUACGGGAGGCAGCAG